rnacentral:lncRNA from 1 species
AAGGAAAUCAUGUGGCUCAUAUUGUCAAAUCAAAUUGCCAAGAUAACUACACAAAUCUUAGCAUGCCUCUCAUAAGCCACCAUUGUAUAAAACAAUUAGCAAGACAUCAUUAGGGAAAGAGGAUUAUAUCUAGAUACUUGGUUCAUUAACUUAGAAGAAGUAAGCCUCACUUCCAUGGUAGAAGAACUAUAGAAGAGAAA